AUUUAAUGAUACUAUAAAUCAUAAUCAUAAAUACAUAUAUUUGUAUAUGUAUUUGUCAAAUUGUAUUUUUAUCAUUAUUAUUUAUCAUAAUAAUAAUGAUAAAGUUGAUAUAAUAUUAUCUAUUCAAUAGUUCAGGACGAAUGUAUAUUUAAUGUCUUCUUCCUUCAUUCAUGGUUUAGUCUCUUGCCUGUUCCGACUCACAACAGUAUAAUUGUAUAUCUAUUACAGUACGGUAAUCUAAAAUUACAAUAAUCAUUAAAUCAGUUAUUCAUCUUUUAUAUUUUAUAGCCAUCUUUUCCUAGGUCUUCCUAUAUCUCUUUUUCCUAUAGGGUGGUAGUUAAGAAUUUUCAAGGAAUCCUUUCUUUUGGCAUUCUGUUGACAUGCUCCCUCCACUGGUUGCGAUAUGAUAUAACUUUUUCAUUUAUAUUAAAGACACCCAGCUCUUGCCUUAUAUCCUCAUUUCCAAUGUGGUCCCGGCGGUCUAUUUGUAUUUAUUGUAUUUUGUAUAAUAGAUAGAUGUAUAUUAUUGUAUAGUUGACUUAGGUCUUAUCCUUCUAUUCAUUUCAUUUUGGCGCAUUUAUUUUAUUUGCCUAAUAUUAUACAUGUUUCAUUUUUAUUCUCUAAUAUCAUUGUUUAUUGUAAUUAAGUAGAGAUGUAUAUAGUUGAUAUACGUUGUCAAAUUUAUUGUUUCAGAUAAUGAGAUUUCAGAUUCCUUUUCAUAGAUAGAGAGGUACAUUAUAAUACCUUCUAUAGAGAGAAGCCUUCUGGACUAACACCAAACGGAUCUCAUGACCGAGACUCCUGGAAGCGACUGACUCAAACUAUAUAUUUCUUUGUUCAAUUAAAUUGUUACAGUAAUGUGUUUUUCCAGUUAAACUAAUGAGAUUUUUGUUUCAGAUAAGGAGGUUUCAGCUUCUUUCUCAUAAUAAUUUAUUCAUUCAGGAUGAUUAUCUAUAUAGCUUCUAUAUAGAGAAGCCUUUUGGGACUAACACCAAAUGGAGCUCAUGAUCGAAGUAGACUCCUGGAAGCUAAUGACCUGAAACGCCAACCCCACCACAGUGGGAAAAGUAUGAAGUUCAAGACGAAAUUUUGGCUACCGGUUCGCUACUUCAUGGUUCAAAGUUUUUUUUUUGCAUACAUCACUCAUGGUCUGUCGACCGUCUGAGGUUCUUUGAGGUUGGUAGCCUUCUCUGACAGGCCUUCUCCCAGUAUUCUAGUGGUGGCAGCUCUCUUUUGGAAGUUGAACGUCGGUGGCAGUCUUCUCAUCCUAUAUUCAUUUGCAAACGGAACUUCUAAGUUGUUUAAUCUUAUUGGGACGUACACAUAAUGCCUAUUUGUGAAGACAACAUGUGUGGACUUGCUUUCAUUCAACUUAAUCCGCCAGGUUCUAGUCCAAUUUUCUUGAUGGCUUCUUGUGCUUUACUUGUAGCUUCCUCAUUAGAUAUAAUUUUGCAGAAGUCCAGUUGAAUAUUCAUAUACAUUUUUGCCUGUUAUCAAAUUUAUUCAAUUUAACUAUUAUAAAUUUUGUUCCUUCCAGUUGUAAGUAAGUUUUUCCAACUAAGUCAUUUGUCCAUUGUAAUCAACUUCUGGUGGAACGGAUUAGCUGAAAAUAAAUUUGAGAAGGCCAACUUUUGUAAACAUAGUUAAGUUUUUAGUUUGUAAGUGAAUUAUUUGUAACUUUGUACCCUACAAUAAGCUUAGCCCUGGCUGGUUAAGGCCCGCCGCAAAGUAGAUCCACGCUAAUCCACGAAAAGCAACCCACGCCGUGGGAUGUUUUGUAAACCAUUGCUAGGCUUCUCUAGACAUCUGUGUAAUGAUAAUAAUACAUGCAAUGGAUAAUCCACUUGUCAGCUGAUUGAUUAUGAAUAAUUCUAUAGGAUGGUUUACAAAACAUCCCACGGCGUGGGUUGCUUUUCGUGGAUUAUCGUGUGUUUACUUUGCGGUGGGCCUAACAUAAAUGAAUAUCUAUCAAAAUACUAUCUAUAUAAUAAUAUUAAGACUAAUUCUUCCAAUAUUAAUUUCUACAUAAUUCAUUAAAAAACACUACUAAGAUGUUUUUCAAUUUGCCAAGUCAUAGCUUAGCUAAUGUUGUCGAAAUUAUUAAUACUAGUUACUUCAAUUCAACAAUCCAACGCCUUACUGAUUCUAUAAUCAUACUAAGAUUUAUUCUUCUAAUGAUAAAAUAUUAAUACUAAUUUCAAUCGUUUAGCCACAGGUCAAUGCUCUAAUUAGUGAAGAAUCCAUAGCUUAGCUCAUGUUGUCAAAAAUUUUAAUCCUAUAAUUUCAUCAAAUUGACAAGUCAAAGCCUAACUGAUUCUAACUUCUACCUUCUAUCUCUUACCUCUAAAAUUAAUUACUUGAUAAUUAAUUCAUUGAAGAAAUAUUAGGCUCAUACUUAUUAACUUGUUAAUACUUGACUUGUAAUACAGACUCCAGCUGUUUAAAGUCUAGAACUUAGUCAAAUCCCGAGCUCGGAAACGGCCCUUAGUCAUUUUAUAUGGAAGGCUACACUAACAUUAAAUAUAAAUAUCUAUCAUACAAUUCGACUGAGCAAAAUAUAUCGAAAUAAUAUGUUGUUCUAUAAUAUUAUACAGAACUUGCAAACUUUGAAUUAAUUCCACAAUCCAUGUGAUAUCUUCUUAAGCAAUCUUUUCUCUAUGGCUUCACCACCAUAAAUGAUACAGUAUAGGCUAAUCACAUAUGAUACAGUAUCACCACAACAUUAUACAGAAUAUAAUCUCAACUUGAUACACAACACCAUAAUUUGAUACAAAACUGUUAAGCCAACGCUCAGCUCAUGGUGGGUGGACUACAUCACAAUUACUGUUUCUUUUUAAUUUUUCCUUUGUUGAAUAAUAAUUUUAAAAUUGGAAUAUUUAUUUUAUAUUUUGAUCAUACCAUUCAGUUGAAAUAAUUAUGUAUUUUGGAUAUUGUAUUGAAACAAAGUUGGAUUUCACAAAUUUAAUAACAGGGGAAUAUUUAUAUGAAUUUCCAAGUGUGACUUCUGCAAAAAUAUAGCAGAAGUCACAGUUGGAAAUUUAUUUAAAUAUUUGCCUGUUAUUAAAUUUGUUCAAUAUUGAACUGUUCUAAACCUUUUCCUUUCAGUUUGUAAUUAAAAGCAGUUGGAAUCACAUUUGGAAAUUAAUAUCAAAAUAUUAGCCUGUUAUUAAAUUUGUUCAAUUGAACUGUUCUAAACUUUUUCCUUUUAGUUUGUAAUUAAAUUCAUUGUAACUUAGUAAUUGUUCUAUUGUAAUUUACUAGAGAUGGUUAGGGUUGGCUAUAAGGGGUGUUGAGGAGACCAUCUAUUGUAAACUCAGUUUGUAAGUGAAUUUAUUGUAACUUUAAGGGGCUGGUUUCUGAGCUCGGGAUUUAGCUAAGUUCUAGCUGGAGUCAGAAAAUUGGCUUUCCAAAACUGGGCAUAGUCGUAAUUUUUAUGAUAAUCUUUAUUUUCUCAUCUCUAUAAUUGGAAACGUUUUUCCUUGACGAAAUGAAACAUUCCCAAAUAAAUCAAAAUAGCUGAAACUUUACACUAUUUUCACUUCAUUUUAUUUUGUGUUCAAUUUCCUAGUUUUUAAAAAUUUAAUUUAAACGUGGACUACGACACUGCGACUACGCCCCGUUUCGGAAAGCCAAUUUUCUGACUCCAGCUCUUUAAAGUCUAGAACUUAGCUAAAUCCCGAGCUCGGAAAUCGGCCCUUGGUAAUUUUUCUAUUGUUAUUUACUAGAGGUGGUUAGCGUUGGCUAUAAGGGGUGUUGAGGAGUUUACCAUCUAUUGUAAACUUAGUUUGUAAGUGAAUUUAUUGUAACUUUAACUGAAGUCAAAGCUCAGCUUAUAAAAUUAUCAACUUAUUAUUGCCUGAAUAAACUCAAAACAAGUUUAAGAUAGUGCGGUUGAUUUUUAGUCUCAAAAUUUUACUGUAUUUCAAAGAUAAGACUUUAUCAAUUGUUGGUGAUUAAUUGAAGUAAUGUUUAAUUUCAAAUCUUUGCAGAAGUCACACUACUUGGAAAUCAUAUAACUUUUGCCUGUAAUCAAAUUUGUUCACUCCAACUGUUGUAAACUUUCUUUCUUCUAGUUUUCAAUUAGAUUUAUUGUAACUUUUCUAUUGUAAUUUUCUAUAAGUAAUUUUUCUAUUGUUAUUUAUUAGAGGUGGUUAGGGUUGGCUAUAAGGGGUUUUGAGGAUGCCAACUAUAAAUUGUAAACUUAGUUUGUAAGUGAAUUUAUUGUAACUUCAACUGAAGCCAAAGCUCAGCUUAUACGAUUCAAUUAAAAUUUAUUUUGAAAAUUGUAUUGGAAAUAUAUCUUUACAGAAAUCACAUUUGGAAAUUGAUAUAAAAAUAUUCGCCUGUUAUUAAUUUUUUUCAAUCUGUUGUAAACUUUUUUGCUUUUAGUUUGUAAUUAAAUUUCUUAUAACUUUGUAUUUUUUCUAUAUAACUUUUUGUCGGUAAACAAAUUUGUUCAAUCUAGCUGUUGUAAACGUUUUUCCUUUUAGUUUGUAAUUAAAUUUAUUAUAACUUAGUAAUUUUUCUAUUGUUAUUUACUAGAGGUGGUUAGGGUUGGCUAUAAGGGGUGUUGAGGAGGCCAACUAUUGUAAACUGUAGUUUGUAAUUAUUGAUUAAUAGAAGUUAGUCAUAUUAUGUUUACUGAAACAUAUGUUUUCAAAAAAUAUAAAAUAACAAACUCAAUUUUUAAUUGUUUCAUUUCUAAAUAAAGAAACGUAUUGUUUAAAA
rnacentral:lncRNA from 1 species